rnacentral:rRNA from 1 species
UGCUAAGGCUGAUGGCGACCGGCGCACGGGUGAGUAACACGUAUCCAACCUGCCGUCUACUCUUGGCCAGCCUUCUGAAAGGAAGAUUAAUCCAGGAUGGGAUCAUGAGUUCACAUGUCCGCAUGAUUAAAGGUAUUUUCCGGUAGACGAUGGGGAUGCGUUCCAUUAGAUAGUAGGCGGGGUAACGGCCCACCUAGUCAACGAUGGAUAGGGGUUCUGAGAGGAAGGUCCCCCACAUUGGAACUGAGACACGGUCCAAACUCCUACGGGAGGCAGCAGUGAGGAAUAUUGGUCAAUGGGCGAUGGCCUGAACCAGCCAAGUAGCGUGAAGGAUGACUGCCCUAUGGGUUGUAAACUUCUUUUAUAAAGGAAUAAAGUCGGGUAUGCAUACCCGUUUGCAUGUACUUUAUGAAUAAGGAUCGGCUAACUCCGUGCCAACAGCCGCGGUAAUACGGAGGAUCCGAGCGUUAUCCGGAUUUAUUGGGUUUAAAGGGAGCGUAGAUGGAUGUUUAAGUCAGUUGUGAAAGUUUGCGGCUCAACCGUAAAAUUGCAGUUGAUACUGGAUGUCUUGAGUGCAGUUGAGGCAGGCGGAAUUCGUGGUGUAGCGGUGAAAUGCUUAGAUAUCACGAAGAACUCCGAUUGCGAAGGCAGCCUGCUAAGCUGCAACUGACAUUGAGGCUCGAAAGUGUGGGUAUCA